AUUGAACGCUGGCGGCAUGCUUUACACAUGCAAGUCGAACGGCAGCACGGGUGCUUGCACCUGGUGGCGAGUGGCGAACGGGUGAGUAAUGUAUCGGAACGUAUCCGGAAAUGGGGGAUAACGUAGCGAAAGUUACGCUAAUACCGCAUAUGCCCUGAGGGGGAAAGGUGGGGAUCGCAAGACCUAUCGUUUUCGGAGCGGCCGAUAUCAGAUUAGCUAGUUGGUGGGGUAAAGGCCCACCAAGGCGACGACCUGUAGCUGGUCUGAGAGGACGACCAUGCACACUGGGACUGAGACACGGCCCAGACUACUACGGGAGGCAGCAGUGGGGAAUUUUGGACAAUGGGGGCAACCCUAAUCCAGCCAUGCCGCGUGAGUGAAGAAGGCCUUCGGGUUGUAAAGCUCUUUCGGACAGAAAGAAAUCGCACUUGAUAAUACCUUGUGUGGAUGACGGUACUGUAAGAAGAAGCACCGGCUAACUACGUGCCAGCCGCCGCCGUAAUAC
rnacentral:rRNA from 1 species